GCCGGUGUGAUGGAAUUGGCAGACGUGUUGGACUCAAAAUCCAAUGGUGGCAACACCGUGCGGGUUCGACCCCCGCCACCGGCACCA
rnacentral:tRNA from 1 species